UCCACCUACAGUGGAGGUUACCUCUGGGGGUUACAUAUUUAUUGAAGAAGUCCAUGUUGCAAGUGGAAUGAUUUAUAUCCCUGGGAGAUCUCACCAAACGGAAGAUUGCAAAGCACAUUUUUGAAGAAAGACGAAACCGAGGAAAACAGCAAGAACUGGAGGAAGACAGAUUGGUGAUGAUAUCGCUUCAGUGCUUGAAUCUAGGCAUGCCUGAAGUCUUAUCUAUCAAUUAGAUUCAAGCUCAGGACCAGCUUCUCCUAGAAGGCAUUGCUUCAGCUGCUCUCACAAACAUUCUUACCCAC